rnacentral:rRNA from 1 species
UCGGGUUGUAAAGCACUUUUGUCCGGAAAGAAAACCUCCGGGUUAAUACCCUGGGGGGAUGACGGUACCGGAAGAAUAAGCACCGGCUAACUACGUGCCAGCAGCGCGGUAAUCGUAGGGUGCGAGCGUUAAUCGGAAUUACUGGGCGUAAAGCGUGCGCAGGCGGUUCGCUAAGACCGAUGUGAAAUCCCCGGGCUUAACCUGGGAACUGCAUUGGUGACUGGCGGGCUAGAGUAUGGCAGAGGGGGGUAGAAUUCCACGUGUAGCAGUGAAAUGCGUAGAGAUGUGGAGGAAUACCGAUGGCGAAGGCAGCCCCCUGGGCCAAUACUGACGCUCAUGCACGAAAGCGUGGGGAGCAAACAGGAUUAGAUACCCUGGUAGUCCACGCCCUAAACGAUGUCAACUAGUUGUCGGGUCUUCAUUGACUUGGUAACGUAGCUAACGCGUGAAGUUGACCGCCUGGGGAGUACGGUCGCAAGAUUAAAACUCAAAGGAAUUGACGGGGACCCGCACAAGCGGUGGAUGAAUGUGGAUUAAUUCGAUGCAACGCGAAAAACCUUACCUACCCUUGACAUGGACGGAAGACUGCUG